rnacentral:rRNA from 1 species
CCUUAACCCACCUUUGACAUGUACGGAACUUGCCAGAGAUGGCUUGGUGCUCGAAAGAGAACCGUAACACAGGUGCUGCAUGGCUGUCGUCAGCUCGUGUCGUGAGAUGUUGGGUUAAGUCCCGCAACGAGCGCAACCCUUGUCAUUAGUUGCUACAUUCAGUUGGGCACUCUAAUGAGACUGCCGGUGACAAACCGGAGGAAGGUGGGGAUGACGUCAAGUCCUCAUGGCCCUUAUAGGUGGGGCUACACACGUCAUACAAUGGCCGGUACAAAGGGUUGCCAACCCGCGAGGGGGAGCUAAUCCCAUAAAGCCGGUCGUAGUCCGGAUCGCAGUCUGCAACUCGACUGCGUGAAGUCGGAAUCGCUAGUAAUCGUGGAUCAGAAUGUCACGGUGAAUACGUUCCCGGGUCUUGUACACACCGCCCGUCACACCAUGGGAGCGGGUUCUGCCAGAAGUAGUUAGCCUAACCGCAAGGAGGGCGAUUACCACGGCAGGGUUCGUGACUGGGGUGAAGUCGUAACAAGGUAAGCGUAGAUGA